CGCAAACAAGAUUGUAUCGCCCUCCAGAAUCAAGAGUCCAAGCAGGCAACAAGCAAGCAAUCCAGCCGCCUUGUAGACAGAAUAAUUGCUCCAUUAUCUUGUCGAGGAAAGAGUACAUCAACGUCAUGAUAGAUCAUGAAACCAGAACAAGAUGUAUUAAAACUGCUUCUUGAUGCUGCCUGACCUGUUGGGGAUUUCCAGUAC